rnacentral:rRNA from 1 species
AAUUUUCGGCAAUGGGGGGAACCCUGACCGAGCAAUGCCGCGUGAAUUAUGAAGGUCUUCGGAUCGUAAGGUUCUGUUAUUAGGAAAGAAAUGCAUAACUAGGAAAUGAGGUAUGUUUGACGGUACCUAAUGAGAAAGCCCCGCACACCUUUGUGCCAGCAGCCGCGGUAAUACAUAGGGGGCGAGAGUUAACCGGAAUUCUUGGGCGUAAAGCGUGCGUAGGCGGGUUAUUAAGGCUGACGUGAAAUCCCACAGCUUAACUGUGGGGGGUCGUUGGAAAAUGGUAAGCUUGAGUACAGUAGAGGUAAGUGGAAUUCCAAGUGGAGCGGUGGAAUGCGUAGAUAUUUGGAGGAACACCAGUGGCGAAGGCGGCUUACUGGGCUGGAACUGACGCUGAGGCACGAAAGCGUGGGGAGCAAACAGG